rnacentral:rRNA from 1 species
AUGGGCAGCAUUCCUGCAAGAAGCGGCCUCGUCACCGCCUUUGGUGAGCGGCCACCCUUCCAUCCACUCAACGACGAUGACGUACGAUCCUACCUCCACAAGGCCGUCGACUUCAUUUCCGACUACUACAAGUCCGUCGAGUCCAUGCCGGUGCUGCCCAGCGUCAAACCUGGCUACCUGCGGGACGAGCUCGGAGCGUCUCCGCCGGUGCACCCAGCCCCUUUCGACGUCGCCAUGAAAGAGCUCAGGGCGUCAGUGGUGCCUGGUAUCACACACUGGGCCAGCCCAAACUUCUUCGCAUUUUUUCCGGCGACCAAUAGCGCUGCGGCUAUCGCCGGAGAUCUCAUCGCCUCCGCAAUGAACACCGUUGGAUUCACGUGGCAGGCGGCUCCCGCUGCUACGGAGAUGGAGGUGCUCGCGCUGGACUGGCUCGCGCAGCUUCUGCGGCUUCCAAGGAGCUUCAUGAACCGCACCGGUGCUUCCCGGGGGACGGGCGGCAGCGUCAUUCUAGGGACGACGAGCGAGGCCAUGCUCGUCACGCUUGCCGCCGCCCGUGACAUAGCAAUGCGCCGGAGUGGGGCCGGGAUUUCAGACCUCGCCGUCUACGCCUCUGACCAGACCCACUCUACGUUCUUCAAGGCGUGCCGGCUGGCGGGCUUCGACCCUACAAAUUUCCGCUCAAUUCCCACCGGGCCAGAGACUGACUACGGCGUCGACCCGGUGAAGCUACUCGCGGCCAUGCAGGCCGACGACAUGGCCGGCCUCGUGCCGACCUACGUUUGCGCCACGGUGGGCACCACGUCCUCCAAUGCCGUCGACCCGAUAGGCGACGUCGCCAAAGUCGCGGCUAUGUUCAAUGUGUGGGUCCAUGUCGACGCUGCCUAUGCCGGCAGCGCGUGCAUUUGCCCAGAGUUUCGGCACCACCUGAAUGGCGUCGAGCACGUGGACUCCAUCAGCAUGAGCCCGCACAAGUGGCUGCUCACGUGUCUGGACUGCACUUGCCUCUACGUGCGUGAUGCGCGCCGCCUCAGCCAGUCGCUGGAGACUGACCCCGAGUACCUCAAGAACGAUGCCAGCGUGUCCGGCGACGUCACUGACCUCAAGGACAUGCAGGUCGGAGUCGGCCGCCGCUUCCGUGGCCUCAAACUUUGGAUGGUCAUGCGCACCUACGGCACCGCCAAUCUCCAAGAACACAUCCGCAGAGACGUCGCCAUGGCCAAGAUGUUUGAGGACUUGGUCCAUGCUGAUAAUCGGUUCGAGAUUGUCGUGCCGAGAAACUUUGCUCUGGUCUGCUUCAGGAUCAAGGCGGCUGGAGUUAGGGCGGAUGACGAGGUGAACCGUUUGCUCAUGGCAAACGUGAACAAGACCGGCAAGGCGUACCUUACGCACACAGUGGUAGGUGGCAAGCUCGUGCUGCGCUUCGCUGUGGGAUCGUCACUUCAGGAGGAGAGGCACAUUUUGAGCGCUUGGGAGCUCAUCAGGAAGACGAUCAGUGACAUGAUGAAAUAUGUAUGA